rnacentral:rRNA from 1 species
UACGGGGGGGGCAAGCGUUGUUCGGAAUUACUGGGCGUAAAGGGCGCGUAGGCUGCCUGCUAAGUCACACGUGAAAUCCCUCGGCUCAACCGGGGAACUGCGUGUGAUACUGGCGGGCUUGAAUUCGGGAGAGGGAUGUGGAAUUCCAGGUGUAGCGGUGAAAUGCGUAGAUAUCUGGAGGAACACCGGUGGCGAAGGCGGCAUCCUGGACCGAGAUUGACGCUGAGGCGCGAAAGCUAGGGGAGCAAACGGG